AUACGGAGGGUCCGAGCGUUAAUCGGAAUUACUGGGCGUAAAGCGCGCGUAGGCGGCUAUAUAAGUCAGAUGUGAAAUCCCUGGGCUCAACCUAGGAACUGCAUUUGAAACUGUAUGGCUAGAGUAUGGUAGAGGUGAGUGGAAUUUCAGGUGUAGCGGUGAAAUGCGUAGAGAUCUGAAGGAACAUCAGUGGCGAAGGCGACUCACUGGGCCAUUACUGACGCUGAGGUGCGAAAGCGUGCGUAGCAAACAGGAUUAGAAACCCUAGUAGUCC
rnacentral:rRNA from 1 species